rnacentral:rRNA from 1 species
GAUGAACGCUGGCGGCGUGCCUAACACAUGCAAGUCGAGCGAACCCUUCGGGGUGAGCGGCGGACGGGUGAGUAACGCGUGGGUAACCUGCCCUGUACACACGGAUAACAUACCGAAAGGUAUGCUAAUACGAGAUAAUAUAUUUUAAUCGCAUGGUUAAGAUAUCAAAGCUCCGGCGGUACAGGAUGGACCCGCGUCUGAUUAGCUAGUUGGUGAGGUAAUGGCUCACCAAGGCGACGAUCAGUAGCCGACCUGAGAGGGUGAUCGGCCACACUGGAACUGAGACACGGUCCAGACUCCUACGGGAGGCAGCAGUGGGGAAUAUUGCACAAUGGGCGAAAGCCUGAUGCAGCAACGCCGCGUGAGCGAUGAAGGCCUUCGGGUCGUAAAGCUCUGUCCUCAAGGAAGAUAAUGACGGUACUUGAGGAGGAAGCCCCGGCUAACUAC